GAGUUUGAUCCUGGCUCAGGACGAACGCUGGCGGCGUGCUUAACACAUGCAAGUCGAACGAGCCACAGACCUUCGGGUCUGUGGCUAGUGGCGAACGGGUGAGUAACACGUGAGCAACCUGCCCUUGACACUGGAAUAACAGCUGGAAACAGCUGCUAAUACCGGAUACGACCUUCGAUGGCAUCAUCUGAAGGUGGAAAGCUCCGACGGUCAAGGAUGGGCUCGCGGCCUAUCAGCUUGUUGGUGAGGUAACGGCUCACCAAGGCUUCGACGGGUAGCCGGCCUGAGAGGGCGACCGGCCACACUGGGACUGAGAUACGGCCCAGACUCCUACGGGAGGCAGCAGUGGGGAAUAUUGCACAAUGGGCGAAAGCCUGAUGCAGCAACGCCGCGUGCGGGAUGACGGCCUUCGGGUUGUAAACCGCUUUCAGUUCCGACGAAGGUAACCUGACGGUAGGAACAGAAGAAGGACCGGCCAACUACGUGCCAGCAGCCGCGGUGAUACGUAGGGUCCGAGCGUUGUCCGGAAUUAUUGGGCGUAAAGGGCUUGUAGGCGGCUUGUCGCGUCGGAAGUGAAAACUCAGGGCUUAACCCUGAGCCUGCUUCCGAUACGGGCAAACUAGAGGGAUGCAGGGGAGAACGGAAUUCCUGGUGGAGCGGUGGAAUGCGCAGAUAUCAGGAGGAACACCGGUGGCGAAGGCGGUUCUCUGGGCAUUUCCUGACGCUGAGAAGCGAAAGCGUGGGGAGCAAACAGGCUUAGAUACCCUGGUAGUCCACGCCGUAAACGGUGGGCACUAGGUGUGGGGAACAUUCCACGUUCUCCGUGCCGCAGCUAACGCAUUAAGUGCCCCGCCUGGGGAGUACGGCCGCAAGGCUAAAACUCAAAGGAAUUGACGGGGGCCCGCACAAGCGGCGGAGCAUGCGGAUUAAUUCGAUGCAACGCGAAGAACCUUACCUGGGUUUGACAUAUGCCGGAAAGCUGCAGAGAUGUAGCCCCCGCAAGGUCGGUAUACAGGUGGUGCAUGGCUGUCGUCAGCUCGUGUCGUGAGAUGUUGGGUUAAGUCCCGCAACGAGCGCAACCCUCGUCCUAUGUUGCCAUCAUUAAGUUGGGGACUCAUAGGAGACUGCCGGUGACAAACCGGAGGAAGGUGGGGAUGACGUCAAGUCAUCAUGCCCCUUAUGUCCAGGGCUACACACGUGCUACAUUGGCGCAUACAAAGGGCAGCAAUACCGCGAGGUGGAGCAAAUCCCAGAAAGUGCGUCUCGGUUCGGAUUGGAGGCUGAAACUCGCCUCCAUGAAGGUGGAGUUGCUAGUAAUCGCAGACCAGCAAUGCUGCGGUGAAUACGUUCCCGGGCCUUGUACACACCGCCCGUCACACCACGAAAGCGAGUAACACCCGAAGCCGGUGGCCUAACCGCAAGGAGGGAGCCGUCGAAGGUGGGACCCGUGAUUGGGGUGAAGUCGUAACAAGGUAGCCGUAGCGGAAGCUGCGGCUGGAUCACCUCCUUUCU
rnacentral:rRNA from 1 species